AAGGAACCUUGCGUGCAUGAAGAAGAAGACAAAAGGGAAAAAGAGAGAAAGGGGAACAGAGAGGGAGCAAAGGGGAAACGAGAAAUUGAUGAAAGGGAGAAGAGGGAUCAGGGAAGCCAAAGGAGAGGGUGACGACGGACGGUGUCAUUACCGUCGCUGCCAUUGAAAUCGGAGGGGAAGCACCACGAAAAACAGAGAGACGCGCAUGAUAGAAGGAGAAGGUAGUGUCGCUAUCGUGCCUGGUGAUCGUGCGGAAGCUUCGAUCGCUAUUGUCCCUGCUAGGGUUACCGCUGACGCCGAACAUAACAGGGGAGAGGAGCGCAAAUUGGAAGAGGAAAGGGAGCUCUGUUGCGGGCUCGUCGCCAAGAAAAGAAGAGGCGAUGCUGGUGGGGAUCGCCGCCGGUGUCGUCGCCGCCACUAUGGUUCGUGGUCGUCACUGCCGUUCGUGACGGACUAGGUUGCGUCCUAGCUUCCGGAGCCGCCAUCACCGUAACCUUGUUGCUUUGGGUCAACCAUGUCUCUGCCUCUGAUGUACCUUGUCGUGCCAUAUCCAUUGGAACUGCCGUGGUUGGGGCUUGUUAUUAGAGAAAGUAAUUUGCUGCCACCAUCUUUCAGUCUAGCCAGCAUCAUCAUCCUCUUUGUUCCAGUUCCAAUGCCAAUUUUCUGUUUCUUAAGCCAUUGUCAAUUUA